rnacentral:piRNA from 1 species
UUGUGCUCUGGACGAUUGUAGUGAUCAACC